CUCCAGAUAACGAGUCACAAAUAGGACGAAAUGCGCAUCCUGGAU
rfam:Trichobilharzia regenti genome assembly, scaffold: TRE_scaffold0017311